AGAGUUUGAUCAUGGCUCAGGACGAACACUGGCGGCGUGCUUAACACAUGCAAGUCGAACGGUGAACCAGAGCUUGCUCUGGGGAUCAGCGGCGAACGGGUGAGUAACACGUGGGCAACCUGCCCCAGACUCUGGGAUAACCUCGGGAAACCGAUGCUAAUACCGGAUACGACCACUUCGGACAUCCGACGGUGGUGGAAAGUUUUCGGUCUGGGAUGGGCCCGCGGCCUAUCAGCUAGUUGUGGGGUAAUGGCCUACCAAGGCGACGACGGGUAGCCGGCCUGAGAGGGCGACCGGCCACACUGGAACUGAGACACGGUCCAGACUCCUACGGGAGGCAGCAGUGGGGAAUAUUGCACAAUGGGCGAAAGCCUGAUGCAGCGACGCCGCGUGAGGGACGACGGCCUUCGGGUUGUAAACCUCUUUCAGCAGGGACGAAGCGAAAGUGACUGUACCUGCAGAAGAAGCACCGGCUAACUACGUG
rnacentral:rRNA from 1 species